AAAUAGUAUCAAAUAUCUCCCGCACCGACCAGCCUUUCUCUUCCUCGACCCCCAAACCCUCGAUUCCCCCGCAACCGCCGCCAUUGUGCUCCCAUCCAUGGCCUCCGUCACCCCGCUACUCCACCUCCUGCGUGCUGGCUGCCUCUCCCCCACCUCUUCCCGUCGCUGGGGACCCUCGCGCCGCCUUCCAACCUCCUGCGUGCUGGCCGCCGGCCUCCCGCACGCUGCUAGCGGGCCCUGCGCCGCUCCCAAUCUUCUGCGCAACGCUAGUGGACACCCGUUACAAAUCACACUUUCCCACCUCCGUUGGUCCAGGACGAGAUGGAUGCUGAGGAGGAAACCGCAUGGAUCGAGGCCAAUGCGGUAGAGGCGGAGGUCGUGGGGCGGCAGCAGCAGCAGCUCUUGUGGCGGGGGACGGAGCGGCAGAAGAUGAUGUUGGAGCUUCCGCAUCUGCAAGAUGCAAACGAACGCCAAUGACCAGCAGCAGAUGGAACGGCUGGAGAUGAAUAAAGCAUAUUUUUAUGAUAUGACUUACCAGUAUUGUGAUUACAUAGAGAAGGAACUCAAUAACCUGCGGAUUUAUAGUGAAUGCCUUCUCAUGAAGCCCUGGAAGUUGUGUCAACUCUAAUUAUUGCUACUGCAAGUAUCCUGAUUUGUCUAAACUGUCUGAGCCGAGGGGACAUAUAUGGGGCUUUCAUUGAACCUAUACUGAUUUACGACAACUGUUGACCUGAUGCACACAUUUAGAAAGAUAUAUGAGGCUUUUAUUGAACCUUAGCUCUGAGUUCAUCCAGAAGCUUCAGAAGUUCAUUUACUAAUGAGGAGGUACUGUGGAAAAAUCUCUUCAGAGAGAAAUUAAGGAGAGAAUACCUCUAUACAUACAUCUAAAGGAAAUUGGGAAGAAACCGACAGUGAAAAGGCUAAUGGAAAAAGCCCUAACAUCUUCUACAAUACUGGGUUUGAUUAAGCAUAUUGCUGAUUUAAUGGCUUAACAUUGAUAAGGAGUAAGACAUGCAACAAGUGCUAGUCGUGGUGAUCCUGUUCAAAUAAUAGUGCAAGCAUGAUGUUGUCAUGUUACUUUUUGCUCUGCAAUUAGUAACUGGUAAUGCAUAUCAGAUGGUACUUGCUUAAUUUGAGGCAACCAAUGUGUAGACACCCUCAAGAACACAAGAGAACGUGUUGUGGUUCAAGACAAAGCAAUUAAACUACAGAUAUUUGUGUCAUAUUAAAAAGUCAUAUAGUAGAAUUAUGUUCUAUCAAAAAUUAUAUGUGGUAGACUGCUAUGAUAAGUUGUUACUUUCAAGUAGACUUCCUGUCAUGAUGUGUAGUCGAAUGAGAGAUGAGCAUCAUAAAUGUUAUCCCCCCUAAGAAAGAAAAAAUAGUAAGUAUAUGUGUUAAUGUUCAGAUCAAAAUCAGAAAGAAAACGUGCAUGCCAAGAAGGAUAAACAUAUUGCAUGUCCCUUUGACACAUCUAUGCUCUGGUUGUUUGUAUGCAACCUAUCCUUCUUUCAACCACCAUAUUUUAUUAUGCAGAACCGAUUCUUUCAGCGUUAUUUCUAACUUUGUAUUAGUAUUGCUCAGAAGCUUUGCUUUGGUACGCUGAAAAUGUUGCGUUAUGUUAGUUUGCAAGCAGACAAGAUUUUUGUUUUUUUUGCAGGAGAGUGUGUUUGCUGCUUAAUUACUA